CAUGGCUCAGAUUGAACGCUGGCGGCAGGCUUAACACAUGCAAGUCGAGCGGGGGAGAUUACUUCGGUGAUUGACCUAGCGGCGGACGGGUGAGUAAUACUUAGGAAUCUGCCUAUUAAUGGGGGACAACAUCUCGAAAGGGAUGCUAAUACCGCAUACGCCCUACGGGGGAAAGCAGGGGAUCACUUGUGACCUUGCGUUAAUAGAUGAGCCUAAGUCGGAUUAGCUAGUUGGUGGGGUAAAGGCCUACCAAGGCGACGAUCUGUAGCGGGUCUGAGAGGAUGAUCCGCCACACUGGGACUGAGACACGGCCCAGACUCCUACGG
rnacentral:rRNA from 1 species